rnacentral:tRNA from 1 species
GCCUUGGUGGUUCAGUGGUAGAAUUCUCGCCUUCCAUAUUGGAGACAUGGGUUCAACUCCCAGCCAGUGCA